UACGUAGGGUGCAAGCGUUGUCCGGAUUCACUGGGUUUAAAGGGUGCGUAGGCGGUUUUAUAAGUUCAAGGUGAAAGAGUUACGCUUAACGUAAAAGUUGCCUUGGAUACUGUAAGGCUAGAAAUUCGUGAGGGUAGUUAGAAUUAGUUGUGUAGCGGUGAAAUGCAUAGAUACGACUAGGAAUGCCGAGAGAGCAGUCAGACUACUGUACGAUAUUUGACGCUGAGUCACGAAAGUGUGGGGAUCAAACAGG
rnacentral:rRNA from 1 species